CUAAACAACAUAUCAACUAAAACAACCGACACACGCUGCGAUAAAGUGGAGGAAUGCAGUGAAACUCGACUCACCUGAAAUAAGGGAUGUGCUUGGACCAUUGACAGAAGCAGAGCUCCAGGACAUUUGGACAGCCGUUUUGGACAUCUGCUGAUGGUCAGGAAAAAGCAGCUCAGAAGUGAAGGCGAUGAGAUCAAGGCUAAGCACAGGUAAGAUACAAGCUCUUAUACAGAAUAUAGUGAGCGUGACUUGAAAAACUGCUUCAUUAGGCCUUUAGAUUAUUGCAUUUAAAUCAGCUGAUCAAGUGAUGAAAGAGGCUUUGUUACAGUAUGCAGCUUUGGAAGAUCUCAUUGCUGAAGCCGUGUCUUCGUUUGCAUAAUGCCUCCUUACACUGCAUGUUUUGCAUGUCUC